GUUAGAUAGGACUAGGAGUCAAAGAGGAUUCUGGGAAAUGUAGUAGAGAAGUGGUGAUCCAGGCAGGAAGUGACAUAGCAAGGAGACUCAUAUUUAAGCAAAGGAAACAGGAAGUGUCCCCUUUUCUCCUCCUUUCUUCCUCCAGCAGCGCAAUGUGAUCCACCGGCAAGGAGGGAUGCCAAUAAGGUGUCCGAUAAGAUAAGUCUUAUAAAAUAUAUAGAUUUAUGAUAAUUAAAACUGAGCUAGCAGAUGAGAAUCCUAGUCAUUGGCCAAGCAGCAUUUGAACCUAAUACAAGUCCCUCUGUGUAUUAAUUUGGGCCCUAACUCUGGUGGGCGGCUGGUGUAAAGCGCACACGUGCUGGUGGGGCUCAGCGGCUUUUGGUGGAAAGAUUUAUCGUAAUAUAAGGCCAGUGGAGAGAGGAGUACAGUCUAGGCAGUCUGAGGAGCAGUGCAGUCUGGAUAUGCAAUCAGAGGACAUGAUCGCCCCUUCGGUCUGAGCAUCCAUUGAGUUUUACAUAUGGCCUCUAACCCAUCUGGAAAUCAUUUUGAAGGCAUUUAUUCCUCACAGUUGUGGAGACUGGAAGCUCAGAAGCAAGUGCCAAAUGGCUCUGCCUCAGAGCAUGGAUGACUCGGAGGCAAUUUGUAUCACCAUGAGCUCACACCAAUAUGAGUGACAGUUCAUAAAAGCUUUGAGCCCUGGAGCUCUUUACUCAACUUGCAGGAAGCUCUUCAGGUUGGAGAGCCUUCUCUCCUCAGCAGCUGGCCUGGCUCAUUUCCUUCAAACCUGCAGAUUUCUUAGACAUGCACAUCAUCUGACUGGACUGUUGCAUGCCAAGCAGCCCAGACACCUGCUCAAGCUCAGUCAGCAUGUCUUCCAAAGCCCCAAGGCUUCCUUCAGCUGCCUGCUCCCUUCAAACGUGGCAGAGUUUCUCUUUGAAGCCGACUUUCUCACACUCUACCCUGCCACCAAGGUUACCCUCUCAUGUUCAGGAGACAAUUCACUGCCAUUGGCUGAGCUCUGUAAUAAUGGAACACUGUAGCACCUCUUUCUUCUUCCUCUACAAACGUCUAGAAGGUCAGUUCUGCUCUCAGUCUAGAUCUCAGAGGUAUCCCCCUACACACACAGACACACAUGCACACAUACACACACACACACACACACACACACACACACACACACACACACAGUCACACAUGCACACACAUACACACAUGCACACACACAUAGACACACAUGCACACACAAUACACACACAUGCACACACAUAUACACACAUACAUACGGACAUACACACAUACACACACGGUCACACAUGCACACACAUACACACAUGUACACACAUAUAUACACAUAUGCACACACAGACACACACACAAACACACACACUUGCACACACACAUAUACAUAUGUACAUGCACACAUAAACACACACCCACACCCACACACUUUUGCAUUCCCAAGGGGCUCUGACUCUGUGGAUAUCUAUUUUCUUGGUGUCUCUAGGACCUAUCACUGGUGGGGCCCUUCCCCCUUAUUCCUGCUCUCUUCCUAUUCAAUUGGUCCAGUCUUUGGGGCUCACUACAUUCUGGAGUUUCUGUAUCUCAUAAGCUCAUGGAUUACUGAAUGUAUCAGUUGAUUCUUAAGUGUUCACUUGUUACUUUGUAUGGUUUUCAGAAAGGAAGACAUUUGGACCUCAGCUGUGGCCAAGUUCCUUUUAAAAGUCAAUUCUGGAUUUUCAUGCUUUGAAAUAUACCUUGUGUAUAGAACAAAAUAGACUCAUUGUAAC
ensembl:lncRNA